rnacentral:lncRNA from 1 species
GGAGCAAAUAGGUCUCACCAAAGGACUGUGCUGAUUGGCUGAAUACACCCUGCGCAUGCGUUCACGGAAUACCAAGUACUUUGAAGGGAGAUUUUAGAAGCAGCAUCUAGGGCACUCAGAAUACACAGAGGUUUCUUCAUAUGUGGCGAGAAAAACCAAAUCUACAGGAAUCCCAGGCAAGUGCUUCAAGCGAAGUCUUAGUCGUGCGAAAGUAGAUGUAAAACCUCCCUUCUGCAUGGGAGGUUUGUAGGAAACAAACAAGCUCCAAAUCCUAUAAAUGUAGUCUCUCUGAAACUUCCA